GGGCACAUGGUGUAGUUGGUUAUCAUGCCUGCUUAGCAUCAUAAGAUGGCCCACACCUACUAUGCAGACAGUCUCCAGUUCAAUUCUGGGUGUGUCCA